rnacentral:rRNA from 1 species
ACGCUCGACACCUACGGGAGGAGGCAGUGGGGAAUAUUGCACAAUGGGGGAAACCCUGAUGCAGCGACGCCGCGUGGAGGAAGAAGGUCUUCGGAUUGUAAACUCCUGUUGUUGGGGAAAAAGAGGAUGGUACCCAACAAGGAAGUGACGGCUAACUACGUGCUAGCAGCCGCGGUAAUCUGAGCGGGCUGGCAAGGC